GGAUAAAUGGCUGAGUGGUUUAAAGUAUUAGUCUUGAAAACUAACGUAUUUAAUAAAUACCGUGGGUUCGAAUCCCACUUUAUCCU
rnacentral:tRNA from 1 species